GAUGAAGAACGCAGCGAAAUGCGAUAAGUAAUGCGAAUUGCAGAUUUCAGUGAGUCAUCGAAUCUUUGAACGCACAUUGCGCCCGCCAGUAUUCUGGCGGGCAUGCCUGUUCGAGCGUCAUUUCAACCAUCAAGCCCCCGGGCUUGCGUUGGGGCCCUGCGGCUGCCGCAGGCCCCGAAAAGCAGUGGCGGGCUCGCUGUCACACCGAGCGCAGUAGCGAUUCUCGCUCCGGGCGUCGGCGGCGGGCACCGGCCGUGGAACCCCCCCACAUCCACAAGGUUGACCUCGGAUCAGGUAGGAAUACCCGCUGAACUUAAGCAUAUCAAUAAGCGGAGGA
rnacentral:misc_RNA from 1 species